AUCCAGCUGAUGAGUCCCGAAUGGGAUGAAAUGCGCGUCCUGAAU
rfam:Schistosoma curassoni strain Dakar, Senegal genome assembly, scaffold: SCTD_scaffold0002676